UGACUUGGUUCAGCAAUACAGUUGGAACAAUUGAACACAUUUGUAUGUGAGGAUGGAGGAGGGAAGAAUGAAAAGGAGGGAUUGGGAAGGGGAUGGGGACAAAGUUCAUAGAAGCACAGUGGCUAGACCUGUAACUCAUGGCAGUGGCCAGCUAUUUGUCCAAUGAGCAGGAAAUGGCCUCUAAAGUUUCUCCAUUGUGUCUAUGACCUUGCAUUUCAGCAUCUGAAAAGAAAACACAAGAGGUUCGGUUGGUGCAAUGUUCCUUUCUUCCCAGGACUUUCUGGUCUUCAAGGCUUUCUCAUGAGACAGAAGACUGAUGGAUGUAGAAGUUUCUAAGAGGACAGUUACGCUGCCAUGUUUUGAAGCAGGAAGACGUUACCACUUCUCAAAGGUCUUUAAUUGCCUGACCACUGCUUCUCUUUGGAAGGCUGUCAGGGUGAUGGAAUCUCAGAUCACAGCACAGAUAAAAUGGACAAAGAAAGAAAGAUACAAGAAGGAUGUAAAAAUGUCCAUAAUGAACUCAUGUAUCUUGCGGAAACCUCUAAUCUAAUGAGAAUGGAUUUUGUUGAGAAGAUUGUACACCAACAAUUAAUUAUUCAUGGCAGAGACAUCAUUAAGAUUUCAUUUUGUUUAAAGGCCUCUAAGUGACUUAGGAAAUUAGGUUAAGCUAGAGAAGAAUUUCAAGAAAGAGACAAGGGAAAGCUUUUCGUUAUAUUGACUUUUUCUAAUAUUUUCCAGAUAGAUAUUUUGACUUGGUACAUAAAUUAUACUCUGACUAAAAAUCUCCAAUGAUUUGUCUGAGUAAGAGUCUUCACAUGGGUGGAUCAUAUACCAGUGUGGUCAGAUGGAAGCAGAUGGACAGAGAUUUGUGAAAGGAUUAGGAGGUUCAUUCCAGAAUUCUAUAAUAAUUCAAUUUGGCUUUUUGGUUAGGAAUGUAGUGAGGAGUCUCCUUGAAAUGACAAUGGGAUUUGUGCAACCUGUGACAUUUUGCACUCAAGGAUCCUUUUCCCAGUGCCCUAUGGGAUGUGAGCACCUGUUCACUUACAGUACAUGUAAGAUAAGACACUUUUAAUAAAAACUCUGGAGACCUG
rnacentral:lncRNA from 1 species